GACGAACGCUGGCGGCGUGCUUAACACAUGCAAGUCGAGCGGUAAGGCCUUUCGGGGUACACGAGCGGCGAACGGGUGAGUAACACGUGGGUGACCUGCCUUUAGCUUCGGGAUAAGCCUGGGAAACCGGGUCUAAUACCGGAUAUGACCUCAUGUCGCAUGGUGUGGGGUGGAAAGUUCUUCGGCUAGAGAUGGGCCCGCGGCCUAUCAGCUU
rnacentral:rRNA from 1 species